UCGUUUCCAGAACCAUGAGCUCUAGCUUUCUGGGCACCAAGGGAAAGCAAUUUCUUAGAAGAAGAAGGAGAAAAGGAAGAAGAGAGAAGGCAACUGUUCCCUCCCGCAGGCGGGCCCCCAGCCCCCACCCGGCGACCGGUACCCCGGGCCCAGUCUCUCCCUGGGGUGGGGUGGUGGGGGGAGAACGGCAGGUGCGGUGGAGGACCCCCUCCCAGAACCCAGGCCCCUGAACGAGGGCCCGGGGCAGCAGCAUCGUCCCAGCCCCCGAGUGUCCCCACCCACACGCUGACGCUCAAGAAAUGACCACGAAGGGCGGCGAAUGCACCCCGUGGAGACCCAGCGACGGAAGGAGCGAGGGGCAGGUGCAGUGAGUCUCUGUGAAGACUGAGCCUGCGCAGCACGGCUGGCGCCCACUCGUUCAAGUGGUUAAACCUGAGAGCCCUAGGUUCUGAUUUCUGCCAAGCCGCGAGCCGGUUCCCGUCCCUCCACAUCCUCGCCGGCCCGCAGUGCUGUCAAUGUCUGCAUUUGGUCCUUCUGAUAGGUGUGCUGACUCUUCAUGUGGAGACGAGGCAUCUGUCCACAUGAAGACCCAGCGAUACCAGGCCUGCAAGCGCUUGGGAUUGACAGGGCCCUGCACAUUCAGGAGGCAGACGGCGCCAGCUGGCUCACCCGGACACAGCCUUUACAUCCACAGCCCCCCGAGGCUCCCUGUCGUCCUGCCGCUUGAAUGCCCUGGGCCUUCACGAGGCUGCCGCUCGAGUCGGGCGUGGGAAUGCUGAUGAGGAUGGGUAUCAACAGAGUUUUGUGCCCUGUUGCUGCAUCACGUGUUUACACGCGAUCUCACUGUCAGACUCACCGACUGCAGCAGAUUUGGCAACUUGCAGGUCACGGAACCCUAGGAGCUGGAUGCUAGACACUGCCUGGGGGAGGACCGUGCUUCCCGUGAGACGGAUCCUUCACUGACAGUGUCCGACGGCGGAAACACUCCUGCACAGCCAUGCCGGGCACGGCCACGCCAGGCAUGGCCUCCUUUGUCGUUUUCUUUGAGGGAAGCAUAUUUGCAAUAAAACUGACACAUGAGACUCUGCUUGUGCUGACCACCCGCAAGUCUCCCUCGUCCGUGAGGCUCUGCCCGGUCCGACUCACGGGGCCACAUCUCAGUCUUCCAGGUGUCCCUAGGGAGCCGGGCAGAGGCCUCUCACAGAGAAGGGGAAGCUGAUGGCCUGACCCUAGCUGGCACGCCGGCCACGCCCAGGACGCUGGCCGCCACUGGCCGCGGGGUCCAGCACAGGGGACACUUUCCUGAUCACUGCGGGUUAUUUGAGGGGUUCGUGGAGAUGUUUCUUGUGGAUGUCACGAGCUCCUUAGGAAGCUGUAAUAACAAACCCUCGUUUGUGCAUGG